UCAAGAGGUUAUCUUCAGUGUGGGGAUUGCAAAAAGCCCCAUGUUUUCCUGUUAAGCCCUCUCAUCCCAGAUCAAACUAAGAGAAAAGAGUGCUGGAGAAUGGUAGGGAAUUUGAUUCACCCUCCCCUACCUGUCAAAAGGAAGGAGGAGGAAAGGACAGCAGCUACAUCGGGGCUCCACUGGCAAUGACCCCGGUCCCUGGGCACCCUGUAGCCCACCUAGAAAGCCUGGAAGUAUCACCGCCACCCCCAGCAGCUGUGGGGAGAGAGGAAAGUGAGAUGGGUCAAGGCAAUAUGAGAUUUUUGUCUUCCAGAUUACUGGCCUUUCACCUACUGUUGGGUACCAGUGGGUACCAGCCCACGCUCACCUAUCAUCCCCUGGAUGCAGCCUUUACUCAGUUCCAGCCAACCUCCUCCCUGGAACGCCCUCAAGGCAGGGCCAGCUCUACCGACCUUUGCCAGCAUGAAGCAGUUGCUGAGAUCUUCGCCCUUUACCUCAAAAGAUUUUGGGUCCCAUUUGUUUGAGUCCUGUGCUUUGUUGGCACUCAGCCUGGAAUUCCUGCCUCCUUGGUUGAUAACUGAAUGGGUGUGAAAUUACCUAGGCCACCAUCCCUAGCCUGGGGACACCCAGGCCAACUGGCCACAUGCACUUCUGCCCCUUCCUUCCUUCUACCCACCUGGAUCUGCAUCUGAACUGAACUUCUAGAUUUUCUCCAAACAUUGAGGAAGUUACUCCACUUAGCUUUAGAGCUAUUGACCUAGGAUUGAGCCCCCUUGAGUGGAAGGAGAGUGAUAAAUUUGCCUAGUCUGGCCCCAGACCAGCUAUCAUAGUUAGGAGGGGCGAGGGAUUUGUGCACAACACACUUCUGAGUUUAAUCUGCAUUAUGGACAUUUUCUCCUUUACUUUAUGAAGUCUAGACAAUCAACAAAACAGUGAUUGAGUAUUUAAAGAUGCAAUGGACAAAGUUAUGACUUUGUGAGCUUUGAAAGAUUGGAAAAGCUGUCAAAAGUACUCUCAGCUACUAAAGUCUGUAGCAAAGACAGCUGGGGGUGAUAGCAACAAAAGAUGAGUACAAUGAGAUGAUAGUACUGAGGAAUUAGCUGCUUGACUCAGCCCAGCAGUCGAUUGACCUAUCAGCAGAAAUACCAAGUCCUAUAAGGAGCUAACCCAACUGAGCAAGAGAAUGACUGAUCCAGAAUCAAUGCCAGUUCCUGAAGAGAAUUUGGUAGAGCGUCCUCUAAGAAAGAAAAGGACUUCCAGAGUCAAGAAUCCCAGGUCCUUACAUCAUCCCUACAUGUUUUGCCUCAAUGUACCUUUGUGCUUCAAGCUUGAUAUACCUUCUCAGUAAAUAUCCUUUUGUAAAAGCUAAUUGAUGUCAAGCAAUUGAUCAUUUGAGGGAACACACAGGAUGGGGGCUCAUGAAUAUAGUACUACCAUCCUAAUCCCUAAGGGUUACUAAAUGUUAGAACUCUGAUGGCAACAGUAGGCAACUGUGCCCUGGGACCCAGCUGGCCAAUUUCAGCAGGAUAUAUCUUCCCAGUUGAUAAUUUCUCUUCUUAUACCAAGUAGGUUUUUCAGGACAGAAGACAGUUGUUGCUUUUUGCCAGUCACGGCUCUGACCACAGUCCCUCAGGAAAGUGUCCAGCUGCCUUCUGAGAUAUUCUGACCCUCAUCAGAGGAGGAAAUUAGAGAAAAUUUUAAUCUCCAAGCUCCUACAGCACCCUUCAUCAUGUACUAUCUUCCAUAUAUAGUGCUCAUAGUGUAAAAAUUGCCACUUUGACGAUUUACAUUUGACAAUUUGAAGAGACACUACUUUGCUCUCCACCUGCCGUCUUUGUGUAUGAAUUACAUGACUUUAGUUUCUCCCUGAGCCAGUCUCUCUUAGUAAAGAAUUAGACCCAUGUUCAGCCCAGAACCUUAUGAGUAGAAGGUGCUGGAUAAUUAUUCAUUGAAUGAAUGAAUCCAUGUAAUUUGGUGGUAAAUUUAAAAGCUUCUUGUCACCCAGAUUGGUAUAAUGUAAUCCCAAAGACAGUAGUUGGCCACUUUCAUUCCUGCUAAUGAACCACUUGCUUUGUCCUGGUUUUCACAGCUUCAAUUAUCCAAGAAGCACACAAUGUACUUGGUUUGAAUCAGCCUUGGCUGGUUCGGCAAAAGCUGGGCUAAUUGUGGGUGAAGUAAUCCAACCUUUGGCUGUACAAAGAAUGGGAAAUAUUCAGUAACUUCAACUGUCCUAAAGACCCCAGAGGGCCCUGGGCCUCUUGGAAUAUGGGCCUGAAUUUCAUUUGGCUUUCUCUUGAUCGUUUUCACAAAAAUAAGAGGCAAUCUCCUGCAUGAAUUCGAGAGAAUUCAUUAGGUUACAUUUCUGUAACCUAAUCCAUCUGUGUAGAUUCAAAAAUAAAAUGUUGUCUCCUCCUUA